UACGUAGGGUGCGAGCGUUAAUCGGCAUUACUGGGCGUAACGCGUGCGCAGGCGGUGAUGUAAGACAGAUGUGAAAUCCCCGGGCUCAACCUGGGAACUGCAUUUGUGACUGCAUCGCUGGAGUGCGGCAGAGGGGGAUGGAAUUCCGCGUGUAGCAGCGAAAUGCGUAGAUAUGCGGAGGAACACCGAUGGCGAAGGCAAUCCCCUGGGCCUGCACUGACGCUCAUGCACGAAAGCGUGGGGAGCAAACAGG
rnacentral:rRNA from 1 species